rnacentral:tRNA from 2 species
GCCGAAGUGGCGAAAUUGGUAUACGCGCUGGUUUUAGGAACCAGUGCCGCAAGGCGUGGAGGUUCGAGUCCUCUCUUCGGCA